GGAUUAGAUACCCUGGUAGUCUACGCCGUAAACGAUGUGUGCUCGGUGUGUGGCCCUAGAUGGUUGCGCGCCCAAGCUAACGCGAUAAGCACACCGCCUGGGGAGUACGGCCGCAAGGCUAAAACUCAAAGGAAUUGACGGGGGCCCGCACAAGCAGCGGAGCGUGUGGUUUAAUUCGAUGCAACGCGAAGAACCUUACCUGGACUUAACAUGGAAGUGUUAGGGAUCUGAAAAGAAACCGACCUUAGGGAGCUUCCAUAGGUGCUGCAUGGUUGUCGUCAGCUCGUGUCG
rnacentral:rRNA from 1 species